AUUCCAUAGACACGUCAUCGUCGUAACGAUAUCGAUCCGCACACGAGCAAACAAUUGUGUCAUUACUUAGCAGUCUUUCUAAUAUCCAUGAUAAUGAUCUGAAACGAGGGAAAUAGCAAGAGAGUAGAGUGUUAAAGUUCAUCUAGUGUUAGUGUUCUUUUCCGACUUACGAUGUUCAAGUUUAAAAUUAUUAGGCAAACCACCAUGCCGUUGUUUGUGACGAAACUUCUGUUCAGAAUACGUAUCAUUAGGAAUGCUUGUCGUAGUAGUCGAAACAUUAUACAACAAGCAACGAAUCGAUAAAUAUUUUUUGGAUUGGUUACGUCAACCGGAAAAGAUAAGACAAAGCAGAAACAUUUAAACAUUUGCGUGCUCUCUUCCGAUUCACAAAUUUAGGUACAUAUUCAUAGUUUCAUCUAAAGAGCAUUCAGAGAUACGUCAAUAUACGAACAAAAUACAGAGAAGAGAAGAUAAAUUGCAGAAGACCUGAUCAUUCUGAUGAUAUAUCGUUAACCCAACAGCACAUACGUGAAGAUUCAGCGGAACGACCAAUCUGAUAAUUAAAUUAUAAUUUGUCCAACUGUAAAUAUUGUUUC